UGGCUGGGCUCCUCUUCCUUGGGACCCUCAUAGCCUGAUGAGAAGACAGUGCCCUCUUGGCCAGACCGGGACAUUAUUUGACAGUAGAGAAACUGGAGUGUAGACAAACACCAUGGAUGCUGUGUGGAAGAGUUGUUCCCAGCUGAAGAUGUCCCUCCUCAGUGAAGCCCUGCCUGAGCGCCUCCGGUCCUUCUCAGCAGCCAGAGGCUUCUCAGCACUUCUGCGUUCCCAUCUGGGUGGGAACUGCAUGGCCUGUUUAAGCAC
rnacentral:lncRNA from 1 species